AAAGAAUUAGUUAAUCCAUAACAUAAGCUUGUCGAGCUUCUAUUACCUGUAAGGUAUUCUUUU
rnacentral:tRNA from 1 species